rnacentral:misc_RNA from 1 species
AAUCCAUUUUAGUCUAGUCUG